GAUCAGUGGCUCAGGACGAACGCUGGCGGCGUGCUUAACACAUGCAAGUCGAACGGAACUCAUUGGAUCAAGACUUCGGUCAAGUGAAUUUGAGUUUAGCGGCGGACGGGUGAGUAACGCGUGAGUAACCUGGCCUAUACAGGGGGAUAACAGUUAGAAAUGACUGCUAAUACCGCAUAAGACCACAGUAUCGCAUGGUACAGGGGUCAAAGAUUUAUCGGUAUAGGAUGGACUCGCGUCCCAUUAGCUAGUUGGCGGGAUAACAGCCCACCAAGGCGACGAUGGGUAGCCGACCUGAGAGGGUGAUCGGCCACACUGGGACUGAGACACGGCCCAGACUCCUACGGGAGGCAGCAGUGGGGAAUAUUGGGCAAUGGGCGCAAGCCUGACCCAGCAACGCCGCGUGAAGGAAGAAGGUCUUCGGAUUGUAAACUUUUGUCGCCAGGGAAGAUAAUGACGGUACCUGGUAAGAAAGCCCCGGCUAACUACGUG
rnacentral:rRNA from 1 species